AUCAAGAGGACUAGACACCAUAAGAUUUACCAAGAUAAUGCAAAAUUUAAUGAACCAUGAUUAAAAUGAAAUGAUAAGAUGACAAUUGCCACUACUUAUUUUGUAUUUUAUGCCAAAUGUUUCAAAAUAUAGAUUAUACUCUAAUUACUAAAAUCUCUCAAUCCAUGUCCCCAAUGCAUCCACACUGCCAUUUGAGCGACUAAAACUGCCAAUUUAGAAUGGAUGUAUUUUAUUCCUUGCCCUGGUGGCACACAACCACUGCCUUGGUGUUUCAAGAUCAUCGCCUGUAAUUGUUGGCACAUGCCAACUACCAUUUUCAGACUCCUGAACGACGGUUGAAUAAGGCGGAGGCAUGUGUAGAGUAAGUCCACUUCUUGAUACAGAAAGUCGAACCUGAAAAUUUUUCCAAAAGAAAAUGAUUUUCUACUUGUGUUAUUGUGAAUGCCUAGCAAUAAUGCGAUAUAUCGAAUGCAGCUCUCACAGUUUGUUCAGAUUCUAAGAACUAACAUCCUCAAGCACGUUUAGACACACCUCCCUAGUCCCCAAGAAAAUUCAGCACAGUGAAAAUCUUGUCACAACUUUUGGAAUGUUAGUUAAUGUCAAACACGCAUCAAUAAUCUCAUAUGAAAGUAGUCACCAGAUCAUAUUCACAGAUACAAAGAUCAAUUUUGAAAUAAUUAUCUCAUUCCAACUAGAAGUGUAGUUGAGCAGAUCAAGUCCAGCAUCAAAAUGUUUGGGUCUGAUCUGUUUAAAUCUAAUUUAAGCUCAAGCACAACAUGAGCUUAACAUGGAGGUCAAGAAAUUUGCAGAAGUUCAGUUUGCUAAAUUUUUCAAAUGGGUUUCAAACUGCUCAUGAGCUUAAUUGACUAAGCAAAUAUUCUUAAGAGCAUCAGCCCCCCACUCUCCUAUCUUAAAAGGGAAGAGAGAGAAAGAACCAGUCAGGACUCAGAACCAAGAUAGCUUUGACGCAACCUUUAUUGACAUGUUCAUAUGAGAAAAAUUAAAAUAAAGUUUAUUAAAUCAGGAGAAAAAGCAGAGAACAGGGAAUAAAACUGAAGCAUAUAAAUAAGAUGAAGUAGUGAUCCUCUUAAGAUCUGAGAGGAAAUAUUUAGAUUUCCAUCUGUGCAUAAACCAGUAAUAAUAUAUGAUUGUAGGUAAAAUGGAUCUGGAACAAUUCUUGAAUCAGACCCAUAAUGCAGGAAAAACAAGGGGAAGAAGUCUAUGCAUAUGCAAUAAUCUGGGAAGUCACCAGAAAUACCUUGUUUAGGAAAUUCUCAUGAAUAAACCUGAAUAAUUAGUUUUCUCCAGUUCCAUGCAGGACAAACAUUCAUUCACCAGAGGCAAGCAGUUGGGCAAAAUGAAUAAUCAACAUGACUUAAAACGCAAGUAAUUACCCUCUUUACCUAAAACAAUAGAACAUACCUGAUGCUUUUCCUUCCAUCUUGGAAAAAAGGAAGUCCCUAACAACUGGAAAAGAUGGUCCCUCAUCUCAUCAUUUGUCACCAAUAAACAAUUACAAGUAACAGCAGCAUAUAACCAAUACCAAUCGUCAUUUGAACCAACAGGCGUAGCAUAAAGGGCACCAGACUUUUUCCAAAACUCUAAAAACUUCCUGUUGUUAGGAUUCCGAGCUGGACCUCCAGUCACACGACUUGUAUGCAAAACAAUAAGCGGCAAUCUCUUUGAUGGGCUCAUUUGACGUAACUUACCAGCCACAGUAUUAAGCUGGUAAAAGCUGAAAGUCUUUUGAUUGAUAAGACCCAAAUUGGCGCCAUCUACAACUGCAUCAAAUGGACCAUGCUGCUGCAGCCACUCCUGGAACUGAACAAAGUUGGACUUAACCUCCCUUUGGCAAGCCAAAUUGGAUAAUGAGGUAGCAAAGUUUUCUGUUUCUCCUGGAUCUAUGUCAAUGCAAACAAGCUUCUCCCCACAAGAAUGACAAACACCCUUCUCAUCAAUUUGAGUCCUCACUGCUCUCCAUCGACCACUCCCCAACCACCCUUGCCCAUGCCAACCUCCACCUCCCAUCACAAUUCCUUCUCUUACCUUGCUUGUGUCCCAAUUCUCCUCUCCAAUUUUCGAAGCAUCUUCAGACUUGAACCAAUCCUCAAUAACGCCAACAGUUGAAUCUGUAACUUGCCUCACAGUGGCUCGCAACCGAUGCAGCAUCUCAUACACCUUGUCUGCCCUCUUCACAUCAGCACUAAGUUUUAAGAGAGCAGAAAGCUCAAGCUCUUCAGGCAUCACCCCAGAUUCAGCCAUGUGUGCAUCAACUUCAUAAGCUCUAUCAGCCAUCCCCUUCUUACAGAAUCCAAACAAUGCUGGUCCAUAUGAACGCAAUUUUGGCAAGAUAUUAAAACCUUUCAUCUGCUUGACCAAAUCAAAAGCCAUUUCUGGGUCUUCCAAUGCAAGAGCCAGUCUUGCUGCAUUUGUAAAAGUAGCUUCACUUGGAGCAACUUUAUCAAUAAUCAUCUGCUGAAAAAUCUCAAAACCUCUGUUGUUACAUAAACUUGAGGCAUUUUCGUCAACCCCAUUUCCAUUCAAUUUGACAGAAGAACACAAAUAGAGCAGCACAUUGUAGUGGUGUUGGUUAAGCUGGACUCCAUUGCUUCGUGCCUCAUCAUACAAGUGCAAAGCUUGAACAACAUCACCAUGCUUUGAGCACAUAUCUAGCUUUAUUCUAAGCACUCCCUCAGGUGAUUCCCACCGCACUUUCUUCUUUGAUUUGUUUGAAACUUUAUUUGUAGCCAUCGCAGAGGAUUCAUGUAUCUGCUGUGUUACAGAGAAAGCAGAGCAGCAAAGAUGCGCCCUUCUGUCCAUAGGGAGCUCAUAGGCUUGAAUAUCAUGAACUGGUUUGGCAAAUAAGUAACUGUGGUAACGGAGAAGUGGACGGUGAAAAGUGAGGGAACUAUUUCGAAAAAUCGAUAAGGAUGGCAUUUGGAUGAAGAAUAAGAAGAGAGGAGAGGUUCUAUUAAAAGGGGGUGCCAAAGAGCUUCCACACAGCAUCACUAACAGAUACUUGUUCCAGUUGUGUUCACAAAAGCUCAAAUUAUAAUUGAGAGCUAUUGCUAAGCUGUUUCAUCUGUAUGCAGGAACAAUACAUAUACCCACAGUUAAUAACAAAGCAAUCACUUUAAACAGACAAAAAUAUUUUUCUCCGUUAGGAUGAAGAAAUCAACAAAAUUUUCCAUAACUUAGUCUAUGCCAAUUGCUAAUUGCCAAAUUUUCCAUAAAUCACUAUUAUCUCUGCCCACAACAGCUAGUUUGUGCCUUUCAAUUAGUUGUACAUAAACACAUUGCUUACCAGUUCCAAGAUUACCAGGAUAAGAUACUGAGAAAUCCCCUUAGGUAAUUUCAUAUGAAAUCAGCAAUCUGAAUUUCUCCAAACUUUCAAUUUGUUGUUACCAUUACAAUGGAUUAGCAGAAGCAGAAAACUUAUGAUAGCUAUUCCUAAAUCCUAAUAACAAAUAACAACAACAAUAGCAUCAACCAAAAUGCAAAAUACCUGACUACAGAAACUAAUCAAAACUGAGGUCUGAGGAACUUAAUUCAGCUUAGUUUCCAUUCUCUAAUUUACUUCUCCAGCAGAAGUUAACAAGCACUUGUCCUCGCUAUCUAUGCGAAAGAGGAGGAGAUGAAAAAAAAAACCGACAUAAUUCAGUGAGAAUAAGCUUGAUCAACUUCUGCAAAUGAAUGGACGACAAAGUAUUUCUGCAGAACAUUGACGACGGAAAAUGGAACAUAGAUUAGCUUUUGGCAUAUGAAAAAACUUAUCAAAAUCAUUUCUUUUUGGUUUUCCAUAGCCAAUUCAUCCAUUGAAAAAAAGAAACACCACAAACUGAAAGAUGUAAUGGAUGCUCUUAGACAAAUCCGAUACAAGAACAUCGACGAUUGAAACCCCAGAACAUCAACUAAUCAUGUACCUGAGAUGGAUACAAAUUGUGAAGAAGGGAAAUAAGGAGAGUUUCUUCUCAACCGGAGAAGAAAGGAGAGAUUGAAAGCAUCAAGACGAAUGAAUUUUGGAGCAUAAACUCAAUCGCGAACACAAAUUCAGUAGAAAGAAUGAAGGCUAUGAUUUAUGAAGCUCUCUGUUCACAGCAAUUUCUUCUUCAAUGGCCAAAGGCUGUGAGCGUAAUGUGGUGGGCGGGAGAGUGGAUAAAGGAAAGAGAAAUGGUUUCA
rnacentral:misc_RNA from 1 species